AACGCGAAGAACCUUACCUACUCUUGACAUCCACGGAACUUGCCAGAGAUGGCUUGGUGCCUUCGGGAACCGUGAGACAGGUGCUGCAUGGCUGUCGUCAGCUCGUGUUGUGAAAUGUUGGGUUAAGUCCCGCAACAAGCGCAACCCUUAUCCUUUGUUGCCAGCGAUUCGGUCGGGAACUCAAAGGAGACUGCCGGUGAUAAACCGGAGGAAGGUGGGGAUGACGUCAAGUCAUCAUGGCCCUGACGAGUAGGGCUACACACGUGCUACAAUGGCAUAUACAAAGAGAAGCAAACUCGCGAGAGCCAGCGGACCUCAUAAAGUAUGUCGUAGUCCGAAUUGGAGUCUGCAACUCGACUCCAUGAAGUCGGAAUCGCUAGUAAUCGUAGAUCAGAAUGCUACGGUGAAUACGUUCCCGGGUCUUGUACACACCG
rnacentral:rRNA from 1 species